rnacentral:rRNA from 1 species
UUGGCUUAGAAGCAGCCACACAUUAAAAGAGUGCGUAAUAGCUCACUGGUCGAGUGGUUCUGCGCGGAAAAUGUAACGGGGCUAAGCAUACAACCGAAGCUUAGGAUUGCUGAAUAGCAGUGGUAGGGGAGCGUCGAAUAUGGGGUGAAGUCAGAGCGGAAGCACUGGUGGACUGUAUUCGAGUGAGAAUGCCGGAAUGAGUAGCGAGAAUUAUGUGGGAAUCAUAAUGGCCGAAAAUCUAAGGUUUCUUGGGGAAGGUUCGUCCGCCCAAGGUAAGCCGGGGGCUAAGGCGAGGCCGAAAGGCGUAGUCGAUGCACAUACGGUAGAAAUUCCGUAGCCACCGAACUUUAAACCAGAGGGACACUUCAGGAUAGCGGAACCCGGGCGUUGGUAGCCCCGGGCGAAAGGGAGCGAAAUUAGAGUAGCGAAGUCCGCGAUGCCUGGAGGCGAGAAAAGCUCUGGCGUAUACUAAGGUGCCCGUACCGCAAACCGACACAGGUAGAUGAGGAGAGAAUCCUAAGGCCAACGGGAGAAGGGUUGUUAAGGAACUCGGCAAGUUGACCCCGUAACUUCGGAAGAAGGGGAGCCUCCAGCAAUGGGGGCCGCAGUGAAUAGGCCCAAGCAACUGUUUACCAAAAACACAGGUCUAUGCUAAAUCGAAAGAUGACGUAUAUGGGCUGACGCCUGCCCGGUGCCGGAAGGUUAAGAGGAGGGCUUAGCGCAAGCGAAGGUCUGAAUUGAAGCCCCGGUAAACGGCGGCCGUAACUAUAACGGUCCUAAGGUAGCGAAAUUCCUUGUCAGGUAAGUUCUGACCCGCACGAAAGGCGUAAUGAUUUGGGCACUGUCUCAACAGCCCGCCCGGUGAAAUUGUAGUACCGGUGAAGAUGCCGGUUACCCGCAACUAGACGGAAAGACCCCAUGGAGCUUUACUGCAGCUUAAUACUGGAAAUCGGUAAUUCAUGUACAGGAUAGGUGGGAGACUUGGAAGCGCGGGCGUCAGCCUGCGUGGAGUCGACGGUGGGAUACCACUCUUGGAUUGCUGAUUUUCUAACCUGCGGCCCUGAAUCGGGUCGGGGGACACUGUUAGGCGGGCAGUUUGACUGGGGCGGUCGCCUCCUAAAGUGUAACGGAGGCGCUCAAAGGUUGGCUCAGCACGGACGGAAAUCGUGCGGUGAGUGUAAACGUAUAAGCCAGCCUAACUGCGAGACCGACGGGUCGAGCAGUAACGAAAGUUGGAGUUAGUGAUC